AGAGUUUGAUCCUGGCUCAGGACGAACGCUGGCGGCGCGCCUAACACAUGCAAGUCGAACGAAAGAUGAGGAGCUUGCUCUUCAAAUCGAGUGGCGAACGGGUGAGUAACGCGUGAGGAACCUGCCUCAAAGAGGGGGACAACAGUUGGAAACGACUGCUACUACCGCAUAAGCCCACGGCUCGGCAUCGAGCAGAGGGAAAAGGAGCAAUCCGCUUUGAGAUGGCCUCGCGUCCGAUUAGCUAGUUGGUGAGGUAAUGGCCCACCAAGGCGACGAUCGGUAGCCGGACUGAGAGGUUGAACGGCCACAUUGGGACUGAGACACGGCCCAGACUCCUACGGGAGGCAGCAGUGGGGAAUAUUGCACAAUGGGGGAAACCCUGAUGCAGCGACGCCGCGUGGAGGAAGAAGGUCUUCGGAUUGUAAACUCCUGUUGUUGAGGAAGAUAAUGACGGUACUCAACAAGAAAGUGACGGCUAACUACGUGCCAGCAGCCGCGGUAAAACGUAGGUCACAAGCGUUGUCCGGAAUUACUGGGUGUAAAGGGAGCGCAGGCGGGAGAACAAGUUGGAAGUGAAAUCCAUGGGCUCAACCCAUGAACUGCUUUCAAAACUGUUUUUCUUGAGUAGUGCAGAGGUAGGCGGAAUUCCCGGUGUAGCGGUGGAAUGCGUAGAUAUCGGGAGGAACACCAGUGGCGAAGGCGGCCUACUGGGCACCAACUGACGCUGAGGCUCGAAAGUGUGGGUAGCAAACAGGAUUAGAUACCCUGGUAGUCCACACCGUAAACGAUGAUUACUAGGUGUUGGAGGAUUGACCCCUUCAGUGCCGCAGUUAACACAAUAAGUAAUCCACCUGGGGAGUACGACCGCAAGGUUGAAACUCAGGGGGAAUUGACGG
rnacentral:rRNA from 1 species